AAACCCCUGUAUCUAUAUGGGGUUGAAGGCGUGGAAUCAAGCAAAAGUGAGCACGCGUGUUGGCGGUCUACGUAUGAUGCCACGGGUGCUAACAGUGUACUUCGCCAUACUGUGAAGAGGAAUUGGAAUGACCCGGCCCCUGAUCAUCUGAAGCGCAAUGAGGCGAAUGUCUAUCUUAAAGUGACAAGCAGCGGAAGCUCUAUAAUGCUUAAUGUAGAAGUUGAAGGAACACCUAUACUUAAAACAGUGAUUGAGGGUAACUACCGUAUUUACUACGCAGGCGAGAACUGUGCAGUAAUAAGUUCAACAAAAGGAAACGGUAAAUGUACAAUAUGGGUACAGGAGGGUGCAACAAGUUUGCCGCACACAGAUUGCAAAGAGGCUUUUAUUAAAAAUUGCGAAACCUGUACAACAAAUGAACAAGCCACGGUAAAUUGAUAGUUUGGUCACCCUUGCACCUGAAAUAAAACA